GGGGGUGUAGCUCAGUGGUGAAGUGUGUGCUUAGCAUGCACAAGGUCCUGGUUUUAAUCCCCAGCACACAUG
rnacentral:tRNA from 1 species